AGCCUGAUAUCUCAGUUGGUAGAGCAUGAGAUUCAAUCUCAGGGUUGUGGGUUCAAGCCCCAUGUUGGGUGA